rnacentral:rRNA from 1 species
AACGAACGCUGGCGGCAUGCCUAACACAUGCAAGUCGAACGAGGCCUGCGGGUCUAGUGGCGCACGGGUGCGUAACGCGUGGGAACCUGCCCUUAGGUUCGGAAUAACUCCCCGAAAGGGGUGCUAAUACCGGAUAAUGUCUUCUGCCCAAAGAUUUAUCGCCGUUGGCUGGCCCCGCGUUGGAUUAGCUAGUUGGUAGGGUAACAGCCUACCCAGGCGACGAUCCAUAGCUGGUCUGAGAGGAUGAUCAGCCACAAUGGGACUGAGACACGGCCCAGACUCCUACGGGAGGCAGGAGUGGGGAAUAUUGGACGCUCGGCGAAAGCCUGAUCCAGCAAUGCCGCGUGAGUGAUGCAGGCCUUAGGGUUGUAAAGCUCUUUUACAAGGGACGAUAAUGACAGUACCUGCAGAAUAAGCUCCGGCUAACUCCGUG